AGUGAACGCUGGCGGCGUGCCUAAUACAUGCAAGUCGAACGGAGUGGCGCACGGGCGAGUAAGGUAUAGCUAAUCUGCCCUACACUAGAGGACAACAGUUGGAAAAGACUGCUAAUACUCCAUAGUGUAGGAUGAGGCUAUAUUGUAUCAGCUAGUUGGUGAGGUAAUGGCUCACCAAGGCUAUGACGCAUAACUGGUGUGAGAGGAUGAUCAGUCAACCUGGAACUGAGGCACCGGCCAGACUCAUACGGCAGGCAGCAGUAGGGAAUAUUGCUCAAUGGGGGUAACCCUGAAGCAGCAUCGCCUCGUGGAGGAUUACAAUUUUCGGAGCGUAAACUCCUUUUGUUAGGGAAGCGGUACCUAACGAAUAAGCACCGGCUAACUCCGUGCCAGCAGCCGCGGUAAUAC
rnacentral:rRNA from 1 species